rnacentral:rRNA from 1 species
GAGUUUGAUCAUGGCUCAGAAUCAACGCUGGCGGCGUGCCUAACACAUGCAAGUCGAACGAGAAAGUGGAGCAAUCCAUGAGUAAAGUGGCGCACGGGUGAGUAACACGUGACUAACCUACCCUGGAGUGGGGAAUAACUGAGGGAAACCUUAGCUAAUACCGCAUAACACCUACGGGUCAAAGGAGCAAUUCGCUUCAGGAGGGGGUCGCGGCAGAUUAGCUAGUUGGCGGGGUAAUGGCCCACCAAGGCAGUGAUCUGUAUCCGGCCUGAGAGGGCGCACGGACACACUGGAACUGAAACACGGUCCAGACUCCUACGGGAGGCAGCAGUGGGGAAUUUUGCGCAAUGGGGGAAACCCUGACGCAGCAACGCCGCGUGGAGGAUGAAGUCCCUUGGGACGUAAACUCCUUUCGAUCGGGACGAUUAUGACGGUACCGGAAGAAGAAGCCCCGGCUAACUUCGUGCCAGCAGCCGCGGUAAUACG